rnacentral:rRNA from 1 species
UACGAAGGGGGCUAGCGUUGUUCGGAAUUACUGGGCGUAAAGCGUGCGCAGGCGGCCAUCCAAGUCAGUGGUCGAAGACCGGCGAGCCUCAACUCCGGAACUGCCUUUGAUACUGGGGAUCUCGAGUCCGGAAGAGGUGAGUGGAACUCCGAGUGUAGAGGUGAAAUUCGUAGAUAUUGGGAAGAACACCGGUGGCGAAGGCGGCUCACUGGCUCAUAUCUGACGCUCAGGCGCGACAGCGUGGGGAUCAAACAGG